CCUACGGGACGCAGCAGUCGGGAAUAUUGCGCAAUGGAGGAAACUCUGACGCAGUGAUGCCGCGUAUAGGAAGAAGGUUUUCGGAUUGUAAACUAUUGUCCACAGGGAAGAUAAAAGACUGUACCCGUGAAGAAAGCUCCGGCUAACUACGUGCCAGCAGCCGCGGUAAUACGUAGGGAGCAAGCGUUAUCCGGAAUUAUUGGGCGUAAAGGGUGCGUAGACGGGAUAACAAGUUAGUUGUGAAACCCCUCGGCUCAACUGAGGAACUGCAACUAGAACUAUUAUUCUUGAGUGCAGGAGAGGAA
rnacentral:rRNA from 1 species